UGAAUUAUUUCAAGCGAAGGUGUCCAUUUACUGGACUUAAUAGGGAAUCCGGUUUGACUCCGGAACUGUCCCCGCAACUGUAUUUGUGAACGAACAAGACUAACCACUGUAUCUAAAUUGAUAUGGGAAGGUUCUUAAGUAGGCUGCACAUAAGUCAGGAGACCUGCCUUUUCUUGAAAGUUUCA
rnacentral:ncRNA from 2 species